rnacentral:rRNA from 1 species
GUCUAUGGCCAUGCCACCUUGAACUAGCCCAACCCCCUCUGAUCUCAGUAGCUAAGCAGCGUCGGGCCUGGUUAUUACUUGGAUGGUAGACCACCUAGGAAGACCAGGUGCUAAAACA